UACGUAGGGGGCAAGCGUUGUCCGGAAUCAUUGGGCGUAAAGCGCGUGUAGGCGGCUUGGUAAGUCCGGUGUGAAACCUUGGGGCUCAACCCCAAGCCUGCAUCGGAAACUGCCUCGCUCGAGUCCGGGAGGGGAGAGCGGAAUUCCUAGUGUAGCGGUGAAAUGCGUAGAUAUUCGCAAGAACACCAGUGGCGAAGGCGGCUCACUGGCCCGGUACUGACGCUGAGGUGCGAAAGCGUGGGGAGCAAACAGG
rnacentral:rRNA from 1 species